GCGAGUUACCGUGAGCACAAACAGAUGGCGCCACAAUCAUCGUCACAGUUCCCUUUCCUUCUAGAAGUUCACCACUCUUAAUGCCUUGAUACGAAUGACGGUGGUGAUGCUGAUGAUGUCGCUUACCAGCCGGAGAACCGCGAUGAGGCGGACGCCGGGGCGCCAAAAGAAUAAGUGGAAAACUCUACCAAAACACUUGCCUUCAGACCGUAGCAGCGACAUGCAGUCGCGGUGGACCAACUAAACAGAAACAGUGUUGCAUAAAACGCAACAGCAAUAACGCCGAAACAAACGCCGCACUAAAACGAUCUGUCUAGAGUAUUGGGCUUCUACAGAAAAUAGCCUGGAUAAUGCUGAAAUUGACCCCUUCAGAAUUUUAGCGGAUGCCUCCCUACAAAAUGUGCACGGAUGGAGAUGGCACCGAAGUAACUUUCUUUUUCUUUCGAAACUUUUCAUACUCAUACCCCCCCCGAUAUGUAAGUUUAGCGAUGUGAGAUACGGCCUAUUAAUUUUUCAAUGGGUAUUGGUUCAAUGAUACAGCUAGCUGUUGUGUUGUCGAUGUCAGCCUGACCAGAGUGGAGUCACUAUAUCGACAAACGAGAUGCCAGAUGAAGGUCGACUAAAGUGAAGUCAGACGACAUCUGGCUGGUAGAGACGGUACUCCGGCAUCCGGUCUCGAGACAAGUCGCAUUGAUGAAAACUGUAGACGGAAAGACGUUUUACGUUGUGAUCGAUAACGGCAGGUGAAACGGUCUAGCUCAAACGCGUCUCUGGCGUGUAAGUUAGUCUUGAAGAGAAAAGAACCUUGUGUAGACAUGUAAAGAUACAGAGUUAGGGCGACGAUUGGCAGACGAAGCAAACUUUGCAUGUUGAUAUUAUCGUUAUUAGUGUACAGUGAGUCUUCUGCAGUGGAUCCCUUCCGUCGAGUGGUUCUCGAAUUGUGUGUUUAUGGAUGAAUGUCGAGGUGAUAUAUCUAUAGAUUAUACAAAGUUCCAUCACUCGUUGAACCUCCUCCGGUUUUGUGUGACGAGGUCCUUGACUCGACUUAUAAUGUGAUCGAAAAAGCCUGCCCUCAACAAGUUAACUGCAAAUGUUGGGUGGCCGAACCAAGAUGACUUCGCCGAUGGACCCACGAUGAAAUCCCAAUUGAAGCCCAAUUGAAUCGAAGAGACGGCAAGCUUCAUUCGAUUACUGUCGCUAAAACAGGCGUAAUUAUACGUUUUCGCAACAUCGACCAACUAUCUCUAUGUGAAUAAUAGUUAAUCUCUGUGAAGUGAAUGCGUCCGCUUGUAUUUGCGUGCAGGACCUAACAAAGGUCCACGCUAAAAAAGUUGUCUAAAUAAUAAUCAGGCCCGCCAUCGAGGAAAGGAGACAGCUCUGAAUCGCAUCAUCGCUACAAGCGGACCCGCUCGGAAAGACGAGACGAAGAUGGAUUGGAAGCAGUGCGAACAUAAAAAGUGAAAUCAGAGACACGAUGUCGACGAAAAAAUUGAAACCGCAGACCAUUGGAGCUGGCCUACUCCGUAAAUACAUCAGAGGUAGCGUCAAGAAUUAUUUUUCAAUGAUUCAUGUAUGUCGUGCGCCUGUGAGGAGCCACCAACGUGAUGGGUAGUCGGCAGUAGUCGUUCCGCCGUUUGGAAAAUACCUUCAUAUCCUGUCGUUCUCACGAAGCGACCUUCUGGCGUCAGCGUAGGAUCUAUGAGGAUGGCCGCAGUACUACUGAAUACAAUGAAAUGUCGACCGAUCUCAUUGUUCGAUUCGUUCCUUCGCUCGAGCACGUAGCAUGCUAUCAAGUAACGGAUCUAUUAAGCAAAGCUACAACUAAAUGAACCUGAGUUGAGUGCUGAUUUUAAAUAUGACAUUCAUAGAGGAACAUGCUUUAUUUCGGCCUUGUCGCGAGACAGUUUAGCCUAUGAACGGUAGCCUUAAUAAGUCUGCGGUUAACGGAGCCCCGUGAAAUCUUUCCGUCAUGUUGUGCACUAUACGGACGCGAAUUGCUUAAUCAACAGAACAGCAAAGACUCGAAUGGCUAUAAUAAUUAACAACAUAGUAGUUAAGUCAGGUGGUUUGCCUAUAAGCAGUGGGCCCUUUCAAGGCCCGGCUGCAUACGUUUGCCGACAUGACACGACACUUACGAUAGAUGGCGAACGACCCUAUGAACCUUGAGUAACCGCCUCACCAUAAUAUUAUUCUACCAUUUACGUCUAUUUUUCGUAAAAUAUAGAAAUCUGCAUUAACUCACGGUAUCGUACAUCAAUCAGCUUGCUACACUUUGUACUUAAUCUAUCGGUUUUCCUCAGAUUUCAUUCAGUUGCAACCAGAAAACAUCACAGAAUCCUUUAAUGGAAGCCGUCAAAAAGCUUCGACAAUUACGCGAAGACGCUGAAACAAUCAACCGCUGCUAUCCAGUACUACUAGUUUUUUAAACUUCUAAAUUUCAACAGGAAAAUUAUUAUUAUUAUUCUGCCGAAACUCUUCACAAGCCAUCGUUAUUCAUACUGUCGUAUAUUGAUCAUCGUCAUCAACGUAAUACUUGUUCUUUAUAAGACUUUGUACUGGGUUUACUAUUUUAGCUCGUAGCCAACAACUUCUGCGCCUGCUAAACAUAAGAUCGCGUCUGCUUCUUAUUUACAACAUUGGUCGCUGUAAUGGUACUGUCUCUUUUGUCAUGUACAAUUGAAACCGACUCUUCGUCACGUGGCUGUCCACCUAUUACACGUGAUGAUGACGGUCGCUCUUCCCAUCGUGGUCUCGUGUUUUGUCUGGCUUUCGAUAGAGAUUUCAUUACACAGUCAUUUUCCUUCAUAUCUCAAAAUUUCGAGACACGCGAGCGAUGACGUAGUCCUUCAUCGACUUCUCUCUAUCCUAUUACCGUCUUUGGAUCGCGCCUUUAGGAAGGGCGAUGUCCGAAGAUCCAGCUAGGUAGAGCAAGGUCGUCGGAACGUAUCAGUUCGAAAAAAAUCACGAUACCGGCAAGUAUAAUCGUACGCCUGUCUUCCAUGACCUUCGUACGAAGAUGUCCAACUGGUGAUCGUCGUUCUAUACAAAUUGGCUUUAACCUGCCGGAAUUAAUCUUAUGUCAUUUAAGGAGGAGCCGUAAAGUGAUUCGGGACAGCGUUGGGUCGGUGGCCGUAACUUGACAGCCAUCAACAUUCAAUGAAGAUCAAUUAGGUCAAAAACAAAUCGUGUCUAAAGUGACCAACAAAAGUAAAAUUUAACAAUGAUAAUUAUCUCUUGAAUAGAAAACGGAGAACAGCAUGUAGUUAAAAAUGCACGUGGCAUGUAGAAAGUUUCUAAACUGAGCGUAGGCGUGUGAUGGUAUACCAGAUUGAAGAUAGUUCAUUUUACCGCGGUGUUGCUUCAAGGGUAUAAUCAGUUAAGCCAUAUGAAUGGGCAGGCAAUACCCGUUAUGGCAGGGCCAGUUGUGGCGUCGCUUGAAUACGAUUACAAGGAAAGUACCAGUUCACAGGACACAUGCCCAUUGGGUCAUGGCCCAGAGCUCUAACCCAACUCGACCAGAUCAAGAGAAUCAUUUAAAACAGAAUAUAGGUUGAAUAAGUAGUAUUUAUGUAUUGGCCAUGCCCAACAGCUCGUCAAGAGAAAACAAGACAACAAUAUAUUAUCAUCGUAAUUGAGCUGUUUGGGCAAAUUCUAUGCCGUCGAUUGAAAUGUGUUUUUUCGCUUGUGUUUUUUGGAAAAACGUGUUUACAGAAGCGAGUUAGCAAGGCAGCUAGAACUUG